rnacentral:lncRNA from 1 species
CGGCCCCACACGCGGGAAACUUACAAGUUGUUUUUAGCAAAGUCCCUGAGGUCUAAAUUUUAUUACACAGAAGCCCCUUAAGUAUUGUUAGAAACGAUUGACCCCACCCAGACCCAGGUAAUGCAAUGCUAAAGUACCUACCAAGAAAUUAAAUUGGGAUGUAUCAUCUAUUUCCAACUUACAAUCAAUUGUUAACAACUAAAUUGCUUCAAAAAAAAUUUAUAUCUUACAGUUUCAUCCAAAUCUCUAAUGUGAAAAUUUAUAUUUUACACUCAUUUUUAGAGAUUGAUGACUAUUUUCCAUUAAUCUCUACAUCUCUAUUUAUUCAUGUUAUUGAGAUAUCUACACAUCAACCAAAGUUACAGACUCCAAUACAGCAUUCGCUUAUGUAACAAGAUUUCAAUGUACUUACUAAAAAAUAUAAUCCGAAAAGAGAAAACAAAUUAAUACUAAUACAACUACAACUCUCAAAGUUCUGGCUCUCUUUGUAUGGAAUGGUUCUUUUUUUUCUUUUCUUUUUUUAACACAGUAUGGAAUGGUUCAGCCAACUAUUAUUCAAUGUAAUUGUUUAUUUUUAUUACCGGGAAGAAUCAGAGGAAGUAUCGUGAAGAGAAAUUGUUUAUUAAGAUUAAUAUAGUAUUUUGAUUACUACUUAGUAUUACAAAUAUAUAAGUUUGGAUAAAGGCUUCUCCUCGUAACGUUAGUUUACAAAACAGUAGUUGUAAGGUUCAGAUUUCACUUGUUGACAAGCUAAAAAAUAUUAAAUAAACAAAAAUCGUUACAUCGGAUUCCUCCGUCAGACAACUCAUCUUUUCAUAAUAUAUUCACCUGCGAUCUUCCUCUCCUGCAUGCAACCGGCGGAUACUUUUGAUCUAUAUAGGCACUGAUAGAAUAAAUAAAUAUUCUGUUUAAUAUUAUUUCAUUAUUAUUAGGCUUAUAUUGGGCCUUCACAGCUCAAACACAUACUGGGCCAAAAGAACGCCUUCAGUUUCGUGGCCUGCUGCUAAUCAAUGAUUUUGGAACUCCAGUUUGAAUUUCACAGCAUGAAAGAGAACGCCUUUUUGGUUUUAUUUCUUUUAAAUAAAUUUAUUCGUUUUUUCCACAUGUUAUUUGCUAAUUUGAGUUUCUUUUCUUGUUUUCCACUGAUAUGGAUGAUGAUUUGGAUUCACCACUAAUACAUGUUGGUCUAAGAGAUUUUAUACAAACACUAAUACACCUGAAUUAUUCUCCAAAAAAUUGGAUGAUUUAGGAUUCCAAAAACCGUAGAGGCUUUAAGAUGUAAAUACAUCAUGUGUUAAGUUGUUGAUCUUAUCAUUGCCUUUAACGUAUAUACUUGUUGGAGAAUGAUUUCAUUCCUUGAUAUUUUAGCUCACAUUUGGAUCAUAGAUGUUACCAAGUACAAAAAUUGGACAUAAAUAAUGAUUGUAUUAAUCAGCUCGCCAACAAAAAUAGGCCACAGUUUUUAUAGGUAAGAUGUCACUAGUAUUAGAUAAGCACCACAAUUUAUAAACACCUAAAAGACGCCUAAUUAAGCAUUAACAAUUUUUUUUUAGAAGCUAAAGCCGUCUUCAAUCCAUCAAUCACUUUGGAUACUCAUUGUUCUCGUUUGUUUUUGCUAUAUGAUUUGUUUAGGAAUUCAUCGAACAUUAUCUAUUGGGCACCUCCUUUGUUUUGGUCAGCGCCAUAAGAGUUAUCCGCAAGUGGGAAAAUCAAUACAGUUCAUUAUCCCUUUGGUAUCAAUCCUCCAGUGUUUAUCUAGAGAUGUUUGACACUUGUAAAACGACAAAAUCAGUGAAUUAUUGCUAUGAAAGUAUGAUAGCUAGGGCUUUAGCACAUAUUGUUAAAGUGGGAAUCCCAGAUGAGUGCCCACAAGAUUGUGUCUUUGACUGUUGUAAGAAUCUUCCAACUUCACAAACAGAGACCAAAAUAAUUAUUUUCGCAUCUUCAACCGAUUAAGGCUUUAACACACUUGCACAUACAUACCAUUGGUGCCUCUAUGAUCAUUUUCUCUUAUUUUUCGGAACCUACUGAGUUAAAGUUACAUAAAACAUUCUACUAGUCAUCAAUAUGCAUUGAUUGUUGGAACCUUUUAUAUAAACAUAUUUUACUUGUUUGCAGGAUAUUUACUAUGGCCCCAAAAAAUCAGUUUUCGUGGGGUAUCAUUCAGUAGAUAUUGUGGCUAUAGAGAUAUUUAAGGGACAACUUGUAGCACCUUGCAAGAUGAGCAACGACACUAAGAUUGUCAAUCAAGGAUAUGUUCGAGUAUCUUUGGGAGUUACAUGCCAUUCUUUUGUGAUUAUGCUCAGACUGUUCAUCCUACACUUAGGUCACAUCAUCUCCUUUCUGAUUUUUGUUGCGUCAUAUGGAUGAGGCUCAAAGAGGAAACCUCAAGCGGAAACUGAAUCAAGAUCAUGACUCAGAAACAACAAAAAAGCGUCGUCAUGCGUAAAUAUCAAUGGAUAUGUCGCAUAUAUUUAACAAAAUUCUGAGAUUCAUCAUAAUCACAAAAGAUGGGUAUGUACAUAACUCCCAAAGAUACUCGAACAUAUCAUUAACUAGCAACCUUAAUGAUGUUUUUCAUCACGAAUAUGUGACCGGAUUUAGUUUCUAGUUUGGUUCACAUUUACUAAAAAAGUUUGAGCAUUUGCUCUCGUUUUGUUUUGUCUUUGUUGACAUGUGAUUUAUUUAUUUUUAUCUUUAUAGUGCAAUUAGAUUUAUUCGCUUUUUACCACAUGUUAUUUGCUAAAUUGAGUUUUUUUUUUCUUUUUCCAUUAAUAUGGAUGAUGAUUUGGAUUCACCACCAAGACAUGUUGGUCUAAGAGAUUCUGAAACCAAAGACAUUGUUCGAAAUACAACAAAAUAUAUUAAAUUGGAUGAAUUGGGAUUCCAAAAAACGUAGAAGCAACAUAAAUACAUCAUGUGUUGAGUUUUUGGAUCUUAUCAUUGCCUUAAAACGUAUAUGUUUGUUGGAGGAUGAUUUCAUUCAUUGAUACUUUAGCUCACAUUUGUAUCAUAGAUGUUAGACAAAUAUUUACAAAAAUAGGACAUAGGUAAUGAUUGUGUAAUGGAUACAAAAGCAUAAGUUAGAUUUUUUCUACUUAGUGACAAAAAAGUGGGGGAUAUUUCUCAAACAAUAUAAAACAUUUAUGUCACAUGUUUGGAAGUUUUUAAAAUAAGAUGAUUUCAUUGUUUAUAAACGCUGAAAAACAUCAAUUUGGCCUAUACUUUCCCUUUAAUACUAAGGAAAUUUGACUGUUUAAGUUUUUUGUAAGAUUGGAUUUACUUUCUUAGUUUAGCUUGACUUACUAAGAACUCAUAACAUUAGUUGACAUGUGUUUCAAUUUCUGAUCAUAAUACACCUAUACUUACUAGUUGUUUGUCAUGUGUGUUUCUAAGUCAAUCUUUUUGUUUUUGUUUUCAAAGAUAUGUAUAACAUGGAUGAUGAUAUGGAUAUGAUUCACCAUUAAGACCUCUUGGUAUACAAGAUCUUCCCAAAAAAACUUUCUUGCACAUGAAGCAAUAUAAAUUUUCCAUAGAAGAAGUUCGUGAAUCAAGAAAAAUCUAAUUUGUAGCCAUGGGAAAUAAUGAGUUAAUCGAUGUCACAUCUUUUUAACAAAUAUUGGGUAAUUCCUCCUCUCUUUUGUUUCAUAUAUAUAUGAACUUGGAAAUUCUUCAUUGCAAUCUAAUCUAGAUGAUUAUGAGAUCACAACUGUACAUAAAAUGAAGAAAAGAAAAAGAAAAGAGAAAGAGAAGGAAAGGAGAAGAAGAAGAAGAAAUUGAGAAGGUGGUUUAUCAUGCAACAUGUUGAUUAAACGUAUCAAAGUAGUUGUUUACCUCUAACCAAUUGUAAUGAUGAAAGGUUUUAAUUCUUGAGAUCCAAGGCCAGCUAUUAAUCGCUCUUUCUUAAUUAAGUUGCUCCUACACGUUUUGUUUUUUAAGAAGAUUGAAUUGUUGCAUCAAGCUCCUCCGUUCGUUGACCACUCUGCGAUGACUCAUCCCCUUCGUAUAUUCUCUACCACCGACUCCUAUUCCUCUUAGCUUAUCGUCAAAAGAUUUUGGUUCGGAGUUUUGACGAACUUUAGCGGCUGGUGCUUUUUGAUCGGAUUAUAUGUGUAAACCGGAAAGUUUGGAUUAUAGGUAUUU